GACGAACGCUGGCGGCGCGCCUAACACAUGCAAGUCGAACGGUGACGAGAGCUUCGGCUCUCUGAUCAGUGGCGGACGGGUGAGUAACACGUGAGCAACCUGCCUAUCAGAGGGGGACAACAGUUGGAAACGACUGCUAAUACCGCAUAACGUGCCCGGGAGGCAUCUUCUGGGUACCAAAGAUUUAUCGCUGAUAGAUGGGCUCGCGUCUGAUUAGAUAGUUGGUAGGGUAACGGCCUACCAAGUCGACGAUCAGUAGCCGAACUGAGAGGUUGAUCGGCCACAUUGGGACUGAGAUACGGCCCAGACUCCUACGGGAGGCAGCAGUGGGGAAUAUUGGGCAAUGGACGCAAGUCUGACCCAGCAACGCCGCGUGAAGGAAGAAGGCUUUC
rnacentral:rRNA from 1 species